CCUACGGGAGGCAGCAGUGGGGAAUACUGGACAAUGGGCGAAAGCCUGAUCCAGCCAUGCCGCGUGUGUGAAGAAGGUCUUCGGAUUGUAAAGCACUUUAAGUUGGGAGGAAGGGUUGUAGAUUAAUACUCUGCAAUUUUGACGUUACCGACAGAAUAAGCACCGGCUAACUCUGUGCCAGCAGCCGCGGUAAU
rnacentral:rRNA from 1 species